rnacentral:rRNA from 1 species
AGCAGCAGCCACGGUAAUACGAAGGGUGCAAGCGUUGUCCGGAAUUAUUGGGCGUAAAGCGCGCGCAGGCGGUUUUUUAAGUCUGGUGUCUAAGUGCGGGGCUCAACCCCGUGACGCACUGGAAACUGGGAGACUUGAGUGCAGAAGAGGAGAGCGGAAUUCCACGUGUAGCUGUGAAAUGCGUAGAGAUGUGGAGGAACACCAGUGGCGAAGGCUGCUCUCUGGACUGUAACUGACGCUGAGGCGCGAAAGCGUGGGGAGCAAACAGGAUUAGAUACCCGCGUAGUCCCUGUCUCUUAUACA